UGCCUGACGACAAUAGAGUGUUGGAACCACCUGAUCCCAUGCCGAACUCAGAAGUGAAACGACACAUCGCCGAUGGUAGUGUGGGGCUUCCCCAUGUGAGAGUAGGUCAUCGUCAGGCUC
rnacentral:rRNA from 1 species